ACGCGGAGAGACUGGGUUGAUUCACGAGACAGCCAACAUGGCGGCCAGUGAGAUGACAUUCUUAGUCAAAUCUGAGUGUUUCAGUGGAGGCACAGUGACGAAUAAUGAAAACCGUCUAGCGAUAAGUGUAAUUUUGUAAUCUUGUUUCUUUGUGUUCCGCAAUCCUGUGAAUUUUUUCGUUGGUAGCGUACACGUGUGUUCGUUAGUACUGUUGUUUGUUUGUAUUCCUGUGUCGUACUUUAUGUGUGGUGUAAUUUGUAGUAUUGUAUAAAUCUUCAGAGCGAUGAUUAAACCCGAGAAAUGAGCGUCAAACGUUA